UACGGAGGGAGCUAGCGUUGUUCGGAAUUACUGGGCGUAAAGCGCACGUAGGCGGCUUUGUAAGUUAGAGGUGAAAGCCUGGGGCUCAACCCCAGAAUUGCCUUUAAGACUGCAUCGCUUGAAUCCAGGAGAGGUGAGUGGAAUUCCGAGUGUAGAGGUGAAAUUCGUAGAUAUUCGGAAGAACACCAGUGGCGAAGGCGGCUCACUGGACUGGUAUUGACGCUGAGGCACGAAAGCGUGGGGAGCAAACAGG
rnacentral:rRNA from 1 species